UACGGGGGGGGCAAGCGUUAUUCUACGUUACUGGGUGUAAAGCGUAGUAAGGUGGUUUAGUAAGUUAUUCUUGAAAUGUUAAAACUCAAUUUUAAAAAUGGGAAUAUAUACUGCUAGACUUUGAGUAUAUUAGGAGAUAGUUGUAUGUUUAGUGGAGGGGUAGAAUCCUUAAAUAUUAAAAAGACAGUCAAAAGGUGAAGACUACUAUCUAUAAUAUGACUGACACUUGUAUACGAAGGCGUGAGGAGCAAACAGG
rnacentral:rRNA from 1 species